AACGAACGCUGGCGGCAUGCCUAACACAUGCAAGUCGAACGAGAUCUUCGGGUCUAGUGGCGCACGGGUGCGUAACGAGUGGGAAUCUGCCCUUUGGCUCGGUAUAACAGUUGGAAACGACUGCUAAUACCGGAUGAUGACGAAAGUCAAAAGAUUUAGCGCCAGAGGAUGAGCCCGCGUAGGAUUAGCUAGUGGGUGUGGUAAAGGCGCACCAAGGCGACGAUCCUUAGCUGGUCUGAGAGGAUGAUCAGCCACACUGGGACUGAGACACGGCCCAGACUCCUACGGGAGGCAGCAGUGGGGAAUAUUGGACAAUGGGCGAAAGCCUGAUCCAGCAAUGCCGCGUGAGUGAUGAAGGCCUUAGGGUUGUAAAGCUCUUUUACCCGGGAUGAUAAUGACAGCACCGGGAGAAUAAGCUCCGGCUAACUCCGUGCCAGCAGCCGCAGUAA
rnacentral:rRNA from 1 species